GAGAUAUCGAGUGUGGUUUGAAGAGAUGUUUACGGUGUCUUCCGUCAACAAACCCCUCUCCCUCUGAUCAAGAGUCUUUAGUGAUUGGAGCUUCAGGCGUGGGGAUGAGAGUCAGGAAACGGUUCAGGGGCUGGAAGAACAUUCCAGAUUUCCAGCAUUCAUUAAGUUAGAAACUUGCCAUCUCCACACUUACUCCUAUCCCCCGGUCGUCUUUCUGACUUUGUGGAUGUAGGAAGCACAUUUAGCCGUCCCCCAGAAAGCUAACGGAACUUUAGGAAUUCCAGCUGUUGUCCAGCUUGAUGACGGCGCUGAACAUCCUGACUGCUGGUGGGGAAGAAGAGUUUCUAACCUCAGACUCCACCACAGCCCAGGCCCACGAAAUACAUGCAAAUGGGCCACUGUUAACUUUUUUUUUCUCUCCUUAAAAUAAAAAGUCAGACCUGGUCCCACAGAGGCCAGACUCCAGCAUAGGAGGACCGAGCGUAAAGACAUUAGCAGCUGAGCUGAGACGGGAGCGUUUGCACGUCUGGGAUAUAUUGCUUUGUCUAACAAGGCGCCCCAGCAGGCUUCCAAUUGUGGCGUCUCCAGGCCCUCCCAGCUGCACAGGCUGAUUGACAGGCUGUGGGCAGAUGCGGUGCCAAACUCCAAUAAAGAGAGGGCCUUGGGAAAAUAUAAGGCAAUUAUUGAUGGGCAGCAAUCCACUAAUCAGACAAUUUCAAAAUUAAUCCCAUAUUCCCUUACUGUAUUAGCUUUCUUUCUUGUUUGUAUUUAUAUAGCAAAUUCAUGACUUCAGUGAAAAUUCUUCCCUCCAGCCCAAUUAUGUCUCUCCGAGGGCAUUAAAUUAAAAACAAGAGAUAUUGAAAGUGGCUUGCAAUUAGUUCCUUAGUUAAAGGUUCCGCACAUACUUAGCAACAGUGGGGUUUGUAACAGGAUGUGCAAUAACAGAAGUAAACACUCCCAUUUUAUCGUCUUCUUGACAGGGCAAGGGGUUGGGGAGGGCAACACACUGACAUUACCAAGGGCCAGAGAUAAUGGGUUAAAUAAUUGUGAUUUGAUUUUGGAGCUGAUUGUAUUUGCAUAAAACCCUGCUCAGAUGCCUUGAUAGGCUCCAAUGCUUUCCAGAUACUCUGCCCUCCUCCUGGCUGUGGUCCCUCCGGGUGACCUCGUUGGACUUUCUAGUGCUUCAUUAGGGUGUGGUGUUUUUUUUACAAUAGGAACACACAGAGCUAGUCCAGCCAGUUUCUAUUACAAGGUUUCAUAUGCAGGAUCACGUCCAAGUUGUGCUAGGAGCUCUUUAAAUACACGGUGAAAUUUUACAUUUUUCCAGUUGCUUAUUAUAAAGUCAAUCUCUUGGCUAACAACAUCCACUCCUGCGCCAUCUCCUGCCCCUGUAUUUGUUCGGUUUGGAGAGACUCAAGACAGGUGGCAUCCUCCUUUUGACACUGAAAAGAGAUCCCUUCCAAGGCACCCCUUCCUAGGGAUCCAACAGUUCCUGAAUCUGUCAGUCUCCCAUCUAACUGAGGGAAGGAAGGGACCAGUGCAGUGUGGGGGAACUGUAAACGCCCAGAGUCUUGCACUAGCAUGGAGAUCUUGUGUGAGCCCUGCCUUUGCUUCAGGCUUGGCAACGCUUCCCUUGCAUACUACAGGCUGCCUUCAUCCCAGGCUUUGGCGGGAGGGAUUGAGGGAGGCAGCUCUGGUCCAAUUUUGAGUUCAACAGCUUCAAGUACCUUUUGAUACUCUUCCCCUUCUGAUGUCAGCCUUGGCUACUGGUCUGAAAACACUGACCUCCAUGGUAGUCCUUCUACCUCCUAUCCCGGAGUGACUUUUGGAAUCAACCAUAAAACUCCGCUCUAGAAACUGGCUCAGCAGCUUGGAAUCACAGGACCAGUUGGAUACAGUGUCAGGGAGACCGAACAGUCAAGGAAAAGGAGGAGGAUACAGAUGUGGAGAGCGUGAAGAGGACUUUCCAUUACAGAUUUGGAAUGGAGAGUAAGAGAGAGGGAAAAGAAGAAUGGGAGGACAGUGUGGGGAGUGCGCUGGUUGCAAGAGGAACCAGCAUUCACAAUGCAAAAGGGUCACCAGAGCCACUGGAAGGACGUUCUACCAUGUAGAAGGUGUGCCCCAGAACUCUCUACCAAUGGUCACAGUGGCACACAUCCUGGCCCAGUCCAAGUCCCUUGUCCAAGUGCAGAUGCUAGUCUCAAUUCCCUGUGCCCUUUUCCUGUUUCUGAUGGCUUUCACAGAACGCCAAUCUCAAAAUAAAGAUCCCGGCCCUGAAGCUUGUUUGUCACUUGCUGCAGUGCCCCUCUGAUGCUUGGGCCUGUCUUGGGGUCGUUUGGGAUGCCCAGUCCAUGUCUGGAGAGUUCUGUGUUAGCUCUCUGUUGCUGUACGGAGGCUUAAGAAGAGUUUGACUCAGAGUUUUAGAUGUUUCAGUGCCUGGUUAUUAGGCCUGGAAGUACACAGAGGAGAAAGCUGCUUCCCUCAGAAAGUAGCAAGAGACGAGAAGAAGUAAGACGCGAACUGUAUUCUCUAAGAGCAUGCUCUCAAUCAGACAGUUUUUCCAACCUUGCCUCCCCUUUCAGCAUCACCAACACUGAAUAGCCCGUAUACCUAUCCAGAUUGGUGGACAAAUCCACUCAGGAGACAGGAGCCUUCAUAAUCCAAUCACCUCUCAGAGGCCCACCCUUGAAAAUGGCUCCCCUGAUGCCCAAGGUUGUUUGGCCAAGAGUGUUUCUUCUCAACCAUAACACCAGCUGUAGUCUUCAUUGUCGAACGCUUUCCUUGUUCCUAGGCCCAUGAGGUGUAGAUGUCACAUCUUGUCAUCUCACCUGGUUUUCUCCCAGAAGCCUCUGUGUCACAGCUGAUGCCUCUACUCCCAGGUUGUUGCAAGCACAGAGGGCUGCAGGCAUGAGUAACGGCGUGUCGAUGGGAAGCUCUGGAUAACAGCUUUAAAUCUCUGUGUGAAGAAGACAUAGGAAAAAGAAUUCUCAUGUUCCCAUCUCUUCAGGAGGUUCUGGGCACGGCGAUUGGCCGGGGUUGCUGGAAAAUGUCAGCGAGUACUUGGUUUGAAGGACAGAAGAGAAAAGGCAUGUGGCUAAAACAGAAGAGGGACUCUGGAAACUUCAUUGGUGGGAGGAGAAGGAAAGACUUUCAGAUCUCACCCCUUGCUCCUCUGCCUCAUGCUUCUUCACAACAUCACGGACAAGGGCACGUCCACACUCAGAAGGGCUCUCCAGGGGAAGGACCCUACACAUGCAGGUUUCUUCAUUUCUGCAGUUCUGUUCUUCCAUUAACAGCCUGAAGUCUGUCCCCCUGAGGUCCUGCCAAGGUACCACACAGUUCAGUCAUUAUUCCACUCGACACAUGUAAAAGCUCAACCCCUGUCCUCUGCCGUUCUUUCUGAGCUCCGUCAGUACACUCAACCUGCCUGAGCAUAGCUCAUCCCACGGUUUCACCGAUCUUCCCCAGAAGCAAUAUGGUUUGUCAGUCUGUUUCUCCUGCCUGGAGUUUUCUGGGGGUCUCUCAGAAUGGGAACAGGACCCACUGUGCCCUCUUUCCUGCCCACUGAGGAAAGACCUGCUAAAACCAAUAGCAGAGAUCACUCAGCUCUUUGAAACCAGCAUAGUCGGGGAGUUUUGGGGUUCAGAAACACCCCCUCUAGAGCAAACCCAGCUACAGUUCCAGGCCGAGUGGGCAAGGACUGAGAGGUGGCUUGGCCUUGUAUUUGGAAUGUGUGGAGUGGCAUCGCCAGAAUCCUGAAGUUCCACUUAGCCUUGGGGAUGUGUGUGCGACGAGACCAGGGACAAAUGCACACCACAGUGCAUGUGCAGAGGUCAGAGGGCAACUGUUGGGAAUCGGUGCUCUCCUUCUACCCUAAGUUCAGGUCGUCAGGAUUGCACGGUGAGUGCUUUUACCCACUGGGCCGUCUUGCCAGCCCUUCCAUAGGUAAGUCUCUCUGACUCGCAGAACUGUAUCCAGAAUCACACUGAUUUGAUCAGUGUGCACUGUGAAUGUGUGUUGACAUGUCACGUGAACCCCAUACAUCUCUUUGGUUAUUGCACGUCAAUUAGAAACAAAACCAGACCCAGGCCACCCUGCCAUUGUGGCUCAGGUGACAGCAGACACCCAGGCCACCCCUGCCUUCCUGGAGAGGGUGGCAGGAUACUACAAAUGUGUGAUGGAGAGAUGGGAAAGACAGAAAGACGGAGCGGUGUGUGUCCUGUGGAGACGGGUGCAACGGGAGACAUGACUGGACACAACAGCACUGAGGACCAGGCUGAUGCAAACGGCUUACACUGCCACCGAAGGCCAUGGUAAUGUCCAGAUUCAUGCUGCCACCAAGGGCCACGUCUGGGUCUGAGAUAGAUACUCCUGCAGCUGGGAUCUGUACUGACAUCCGUGGCCCACUUCACCAUCAAAGGCCCUGCAGAUGUCUGAAGUCUGCACUGCAGCCGUGUUGAUCUCCGUGGGCCCUGCUAGAGGGUGGGAGACACUGAUCUCAGUGGCCUUUGCUGCCACCUGAGGCCGUGGUGAAGUGUAGACUAGGGCUGCUGCAGAAGGCCAAGCCUGGGUCUGGGGCCCUGCUGCAACCGUAGUCUUUGUUGGUGUUCGUGGCCUGUGUCAGCAUCAAAACCAUGUGGUUGUCCAUGGUCUUCCCUGCCGCCUGAAGCCAUGUUAUCGUCUGUGAGCUGUGCUGUGGCCGAGGGCCAUACUUCUGAGUGGCCUGCAUUGCCACCUAAGGCCAUGUGAAGGCCAUGGGGCUGUCCGGCCCUUGCUGCCGCUGAGGGCCCAUAGUUCUACUGUAGCUGGAGUCUGUGUUGAUGUUCGUGUCUUGUGGACUGUGUAUCCAAAGACCAUGUGGAUGUCUGUGGGCUGUAAUGCUGCCGGGGGCCAUAUUGGUGUGAGUAGCCUGUGUUGCCACCUGAGGCCAUGGUGAUGCCUGUGGUCUGGGCUGCUUCCAAGGCCUUGUCUGUGGACUCCCUGCAGCCAGAGGCCAUGUUUGUGGUCUGCACUGUCACCAUAAACCAUGUGGAAUCCCAUGAUCCUUGUUCCUGCAGACUCAAGAGCAAGCGAGCUCCUUGUGCAGUGACAUCAAUGGCUGAAGACGCAUACAGAGAGCAACAUGGACAGCUUCUGUGAUAACCCUAUACUCUCCCAACAGUGACAAGGACGCCGACGUUACUCCCUGCAGGGCCACGGGAGGGAAGGAGACCACUGAGACACUGAGAGUCUGACCAUGCCGCAGUGAGUAUAAAGUUAGCAGAAACUGGACGUUUUUAUUUAAUUUUUUGGGGGAGGGGACAAGGGUAGGGGGCAAACAUGAAAGGAUGGGGAAAUGAGUGCGGUCAGCAUCCGUGAUGUGAAAUUCACAAAGAAUCAAUAAAAAUAUUAUGCUGACAAAAAUGUUGAAAAAAAAAUAUUAUGCUGACAAAAAUGUUGAAAAAAAAAAAAAACCCAACAGUUGGAAAGUUCUCAGAUUUCGUUACCAAUCAGAUGCCCCAAGUUUAAAUCCCAGUUCAUCCACCACAUACUAUCAACUUACAAUGUAAUCUACAAUUUCUCUGACUCUUUUUCCUUCCUGAGUCUUAAUUCCUUUUGUGUAAAAUGGAUCUAAUCCUGUUUGUGCGUGCGUGUGCGUGUGCAUGUGCGUGUGUGCGUGUGUGCGUGUGUGUGCGCGCGCAUGCGUGUGUAUGGUUCACUUUUUCAAGUCUGCUACAAAGGGCAGAUUACUUCACAUUCGAAAAGUGCUUAACAUACUGUGGGACACACCAACAGUAAACAUUUAUCCGAUAUUCUCUUCCCUUAUUUCCUCUUCACCUUUCCUUCUUUUUUCUGUCCAGGGAUGACAAUGUUUCUUCACAGCCUUUUCCAAUCAAACACGAUCACUUAGAAAUCACAAACAGUAUACAGUAGUUGUCUUCAUCACUACUAGGAGACAUAUAUGAAAUGUUUUUGGCUGAUAUUAGCUACCUUUCCUGCCCAGUGGAGACAACGCCUCAAGCCUGCCAACCUCCUCCAGAGGCCAGUGAGGGGACAGAAAGGCAGAGGUGGCUAUGAUAUUCUCAAGAGGACAGAAUUGGACAUGAGGUUCAGAGUUUAUCUAAUAGGUCCUCUGAAAUAUGUAAAGCGAUGUUCUGUGGGCCCGAGAAAAUAACCCACCCCAGAAGUCAGCUCAUGUAUGGGCGUUUAAGACAUCUAAGUCUGUUCUUUGCCCAACCAUGAUCUUGAGAAAAGAUAUUUGAGCUUCUCAUCUCUGUCUCUCUCGGUCUCUUGAUAGGUCACACUUUAGCCCAGGCUACUCUCAAAAUCAUCACCUUCCUUCCUUGAGCCUCCAAGUGUGGCAUCACAGGUGUGUGCUGGCACCUUCACAGUGGGACUUUUCAAAGGUAAAAGGAGAAAUGGAUACAGGCAGGUGGGAGAGCCAUUUUACAAGGCCUUCGAUUCCACAUGCAGAGAGCUUCUCGCAGAGUGGCAGUGGGCAGGCUUCAGGGUCUGUAAAACCCUCGAGCCAACCCUAAGAGUAUCAGGAGGCCUAGGAGGAAGGCUGGAGACUUGGGGGCCAGUGGGGAGAGGACCAAAGAGACUUGCCAGGCAGUCUCCUGAAGUGGGAGCAUUCCUUAGAGGGGUGCCAGGCUGAUUCUUUAUAGACUUUAUAGAAGUGGCUGGUGCUGCCUUCUCUCUGGGGCUGGGGGUGCCGGUGCUGCCGAGUGCAUCUGCAGAUUUGCAAGCAAAUGUGUGUGCUUUAUAAACGGAGCGGAUGCCUUAUGUUUCUGAUUGACGGACCAUCAGUCUCACAGUUGUUAGGCAGUGAUUGGCUUUCCAGCCCAGCUGCUCCAGCUGUGCCACACAUGUUCCUUGUCUGAAGUUGGAGGGCUGGUGCUGUAAGUCGUGGAGAAGAUCCUAAUUGGAGUGAUCCCUGAGAAAUCAGCCAUUGCGAUGGCUAACGGCCAUUAGUUUGGGGCUUUCCUUGGGGCGCUAAAGUACAAGCUCUCCCUUGGUAAUUGCCACCCCCCAACUGGACUGCUGCCAUUCUGAACUCACAAUGAUGCAGAUGGGGCCAGGCCGAGUCUUAACUCCUGCAUGCUUUGCUAAGCCAAAGCUCAAUUUGUAAAAAUACCUUAUUUUAAAAUUCAAAAUUAGCACAUGCUAUUUUAAAAGGCCUUAAAAGACACAGAAAGGUGAAGGAUGACUGUGAAAGUCAGCCACAUUUUCAUAACGCAAGGGUAAUGAUACCUUAAACGUUUGCUGCGGGUUUUCUUCUAUUUUAUUCUACGUGGGUGUGACCUAAAUGUUUUCAAAGUUGAAAAAUAUACUUCAAACAUAAUCUUAUAUUUUGAAUUUCAUCUUUAUUAUCCGUGCCUUAAAUAAAGAUAAAACUGCUGACGAGGCAAAUGAUAAAGCCUCAUGUGUAUUCCAGGCAAGAACUGCUUAAGGACAACCUGGGUGCAGAGAAGGCCAUGGAAGAUAAUGGAGACCUGGCACACUGAACAGUGUCACGGCUUAUAGUAAGCCAGGCAUAUCAUCUAUGAGACUACUACAAAUACCCACCCACCUGUUCCACACGUAAUGCAGUCACACUGCGUAAGAGCAUUGGGGACAAUCAUGUAUGCAGUCACACUGUGGGAGAACAUUGGGGACAACCAAUGAUGUAUGCAGUCACACUGUGGGAGAGCAUUGGGGACAACCAAUCAAGUGUGCAGUCACACUGUGGGAGAGCAUUGGGGACAAUCGUAUAUGCAAUCAAACUUCGUGAAAGCACUGGGGACAAUCCUGUGCGCAGUCACACUGUGUAAGAGUAUUGGGGACAAUCAUGUGAUCAAGACUUAACUUGGAAAACACCCCAAGCUUGUCAGCUGCACACAUCUGUACAAUCUGGUUAAUGAGAGACACUCCUCAUUAAUUAGAGUAGACGCCAGGGCUGCACAUGCUCUUCCCUUCCCUGGGUUUGAACACCUUUCUGCCCGCAAGGAGGCUUGAGUCAGAAGCUCUGUGGAGUCUUUUUCCAGCGCUAAUUAACUACUGCCAUUUGAUGCCUCAGAAUGGGUUAGUCAUGGGUCUCUAGAUUCUAAACACCCUGGCAGAAAGCAUCUGGUACUUCUCACGGUCCUUCCCAUGUUGUCUAUACAAUGACUUUGGGGAGAUUUUUCUCACACGCCUGGAACCAGAACAAACCACUUCAAAACUCCAAGGCUUGCUCGAGACAUGGAGAGACUGUUUCAGAGGUGGGCAUUUCCUGCCAGGGACACUGUCCUGGGUGGUGUGAAAUUCAAACGGCCCCUCCAACUUGCAGACUUGAGUGCAGGGGUGAGGUGGCCUCUAGACGCUAACUUCUCCAGAGUUUUCUGUGGCUAGUGAGCCCAAUCAACAUCUAAGCCAGUGCUGGUUCACUUGUGACGUGUCUACACCUGCCGACCACCUAACCACAGUGCCAGAAUCUGAAGCCACGUAGCACGUUUAGGGCAUUCUAAGUUCUUCGGAUCUCACCCGAGGGGAGGUAGGGGGGCGAUAAAAAUAAACACAAACAAAACUGCAUCUAGGAGGAGCAAGCUGUGUCCACAUCACGUGGCGCCCACCUUUAAUCUCAGCAUUGGGAGGAGGCAGAAGCAGGUGAAUCUUGGUGAGUUCAAGACCAGUCUGGUCUAUACAGUGAGUACGAAAACCAUUUCUCCAAGUCAGAGCCAGUAAACGCCUUCCUGAGAAGUGGGACCUCAAACUUUGAACUCAAGCGAGUGUAAAUGGCAGGUCCUACCUGCCCAAGUCCUGAGCGUGCUCAGGUGAGAGGAAAGGGCUGCCAAGUGUUAGAGAGGAUGAAAAAGUACCCAAAAGUCAGCCUGGCCCUCGACCUGGGCCCAAGCCUGCAGCUGCCAGGGCGCAGGCGCAUUUGAGGGAUUCGUGGGCCCAGUUGCUCCAGGCUCCGCGCAGGCGCAGGUGAGGCCGUCCGCCCCAGCUCAGCUAACAAAGGCGGUGCGCCCAGGCGGCCUCCAGGAGGCCGGCCUCCUUUGAAGCGCACAGCCUGGAUUAUUUAAUAUAAUGGAACAGUGCAACUCGACCCAUCAGAGACAUAAAUUUCCAGGUGUUUUAAAUUUGUUUGCCCCGUCAGAAUGGUAAAUGACGGACAGUAAAACUCGGCACAGGUCGUGGCUGUGGGAGCAGA
rnacentral:sRNA from 1 species